rnacentral:rRNA from 1 species
UACGUAGGGUGCUAGCGUUGUCCGGAUUUAUUGGGCGUAAAGAGCGUGUAGGCGGCCAGGUAGGUCUGGUGUGAAAACUCGAGGCUUAACCUCGAGAUGUCAUCGGAAACCAUCUGGCUAGAGUCCGGAAGAGGAGAGUGGAAUUCCUGGUGUAGCGGUGAAAUGCGCAGAUAUCAGGAAGAACACCUAUGGCGAAGGCAGCACUCUGGGACGGUACUGACGCUGAGACGCGAAAGCGUGGGGAGCGAACAGG